UGUUUAUAAUCGCACUUUUAGUUUUUGAUUCGGCCGAUCGUUUCGAAACUUAUAUUGUUCGUGCAGUUGAAAAUCGGAAUUUUUGACACGCGAAAAUUGAUUUUUCUCCUAAACCAUGUGUCGGACGUACGUCGGGCAUAGUGCGCUGGAUAGAGGGCCAGGUCCGCUGUCCAGCGCACUACGUCCGACGUUAGGUUUCACGUAUGGAUUUUGAGAAAAUUCGAUUGUCGGGUGUGGGGAAUCUUCGGGUUUCAACCGCGACGACAAUAUUUGGAAUGUAUAGUGAUUCAGUGAGUUUUGCUUUUUUAACACGUACAUGCUUGAGCCGGGGUUUCUACGCUGCAAGUAAAGUUUGGUUUCGCACAUUUAGAAAAAUGUCCAAAUAAAUAACUCGCGAAGUUCGUUCCGACAAGUUCCAAAAUUAUCGUCAUCCGUCGCAGAUUCCGGUAAGAAGAUGUGCGUAUUUUCUAACCCGAAAAGAUACCAUUUGACGGUAAUAAGUGACCACAAGGUUUUCUUUCUCCACUUUCCGGGCUGAGAUCCCCCGUUUUGAAAGAGCUGUGCCUCGCGUUUCAUUUUGUCGUGUAUAUUUCGAAAAAGGCAAAGGAGUUUUGGUUUGAUUGCUAUUUAAAAAAAAGUGGUCGUCAGUGGGUGGUUUAUUAAAUAUAAAUUUGAAAAUAUAAAUUAAAUAAACGAGACAUUAGGAAGAAAGUGUGCGAAAUGAGUAACUUCACCCUUGUAGAAACAAUAGGGGAAAGCAGAAAAAAAAAUCUGCGACAACUGUGAAUAACACUGAUCAUACAGAAUAGGAUGUUCGACAUUAUUUAGAUCUAUAAAAACAACCCAACAAUAGGGGAGAUUUUUCCAAUAUUACACAUUUUUUAUUCAUAGCUCUAUUAUACACAUUCUUAUAUAUUUAAAACAUAUUCAUCAAUAUGUAAUCUGGAUCGUUUGGUAUACGCAUCCUUCCUCCCCUGUAAAUUCGAGAAGUACCUUGCCGAAAGAAAAUAUUCUGCACUCCAAGUAUUUCGGAGAACACUUUGCGCGUAAAUACAACGCAAUAGACCUGGCCGCUUUGAUGUAUGUGUCCUGAUAUGCUGCAAGCAUCAAUAUUGACAAGAAAAGUAACACGAUUGCUUUCCAGGGUGAUUCCGCGUACUGGCUGCGUAUGUAUAAGAUUAGAUUUGAGUAGUUAUGAUUUUUCAAAGAUGCU